rnacentral:lncRNA from 1 species
AUGACCUCAGAACAAACAAGAACUGGAAAUGAGAAGAAGCAAUACAGAGUGAAGAGAAAAAGUGGAGAGUCUGAUGAGGAAUCUCAACAAGAAGCAAGAGAGCUUGAACGUGCAAAGGAAAUCAUGAGUGAAGAAAAAGUGGAGAGUCUGAUGAGGAAUCUCAACAAGAAGCAAGAAGAGCUUGAACGUGCAAAGGAAAUCAUGAGUGAAGAAAAAGAAGAGGUGAAACAGAUGAAGACUGACAUUGCCAAAGAACGAGAACUGUUGUUGAAGGAAAGGAGAAAUAUGGAAGAAGAGCGGUCUGAGAUGGAAAUGAGAGGAGACCAAGUCAUGGAUGAAAUGAAAUCACUAGAGAUUCUGAAAGUGAAACUUCAACAACUGAAGCAGCAUAUAAAAGCUAAAACGGACAGAUUACUACAAAAUGUUGACAACAGGUCCAUGCUGCAAACAGUGUUGGAAGAAAAACUUACAACUCAAGACAAACAGAAAGAAAACAUUUGCUGUUUCACUGAAAUGUUAGAUAGAGAAAAGGAAGGUGUGAGAAGUAUCCUUUCAGACAUGGUCACCAAGAGAGAAUGCACAGAAAAAGAAUGGAAGCAGCAGUUUGAACUGGACAAACGAGAUCUUGAUAAACGGAAAGAAGAUCUGAGACAAGACAGAGAAGAUCUGGAGAGAGAAAGUGAGGUGCUGAAUAAAGAGAAAAUGGAUUUGAAGCUGUUGAUGUCUGACAUGAAGAAACAAUUUGAAAUAUUGGAAGAAAAGAGACAAAAUGUAAAAGAAGAGAGAGACUCAAUGGAAAUCAUGAAGCUUGAACUGCUCAAUAAGAUGGAACAUGUAAAAAGGCUGUUAAAUGAGGCAAAUAAAGAAAAAGCCAAUAUUAAAGUUUGUAUCCUUCAGGUUCAAACGGAAAAAGAAAGACUUGAAGACAUUUUAAGCAAGAUUUUCUUAACACAUAGUGAACAAAAAGUCAAGGAAGAUGACCUCAGAAGACAAACAAAAGAACUGGAAAUGAAGAAGAAGCAAUUACAGAGUGAAAGAGAAAAAGUGGAGAGUCUGAUGAGGAAUCUCAACAAGAAGCAAGAAGAGCUUGAACGUGCAAAGGAAAUCAUGAGUGAAGAAAAAGAAGAGGUGAAACAGAUGAAGACUGACAUUGCCAAAGAACGAGAACUGUUGUUGAAGGAAAGGAGAAAUAUGGAAGAAGAGCGGUCUGAGAUGGAAAUGAGAGGAGACCAAGUCAUGGAUGAAAUGAAAUCACUAGAGAUUCUGAAAGUGAAACUUCAACAACUGAAGCAGCAUAUAAAAGCUAAAACGGACAGAUUACUACAAAAUGUUGACAACAGGUCCAUGCUGCAAACAGUGUUGGAAGAAAAACUUACAACUCAAGACAAACAGAAAGAAAACAUUUGCUAUUUCACUGAAAUGUUAGAGAGGAAAGGAAGGUGUGAGAAUAUCCUUUCAGACAUGAUCACCAAGAGAGAAUGCACAGAAAAAGAAUGGAAGCAGCAGUUUGAACUGGACAAACGAGAUCUUGAUAAACGGAAAGAAGAUCUGAGACAAGACAGAGAAGAUCUGGAGAGAGAAAGUGAGGUGCUGAAUAAAGAGAAAAUGGAUUUGAAGCUGUUGAUGUCUGACAUGAAGAAACAAUUUGAAAUAUUGGAAGAAAAGAGACAAAAUGUAAAAGAAGAGAGAGACUCAAUGGAAAUCAUAAAGCUUGAACUGCUCAAUAAGAUGGAACAUGUAAAAAGGCUGUUAAAUGAGGCAAAUGAAGAAAAAGCCAAUAUUAAAGUUUGUAUCCUUCAGGUUCAAACGGAAAAAGAAAGACUUGAAGACAUUUUAAGCAAGAUUUUCUUAAACAUAGUGAACAAAAAGUCAAGGAAGAUGACCUCAGAAGACAAACAAAAGAACUGGAAAUGAGAAGAAGCAAUUACAGAGUGAAAGAGAAAAAGUGGAGAGUCUGAUGAGGAAUCUCAACAAGAAGCAAGAAGAGCUUGAACGUGCAAAGGAAAUCAUGAGUGAAGAAAAAGAAGAGGUGAAACAGAUGAAGACUGACAUUGCCAAAGAACGAGAACUGUUGUUGAAGGAAAGGAGAAAUAUGGAAGAAGAGCGGUCUGAGAUGGAAAUGAGAGGAGACCAAGUCAUGGAUGAAAUGAAAUCACUAGAGAUUCUGAAAGUGAAACUUCAACAACUGAAGCAGCAUAUAAAAGCUAAAACGGACAGAUUACUACAAAAUGUUGACAACAGGUCCAUGCUGCAAACAGUGUUGGAAGAAAAACUUACAACUCAAGACAAACAGAAAGAAAACAUUUGCUGUUUCACUGAAAUGUUAGAUAGAGAAAAGGAAGGUGUGAGAAGUAUCCUUUCAGACAUGGUCACCAAGAGAGAAUGCACAGAAAAAGAAUGGAAGCAGCAGUUUG